rnacentral:rRNA from 1 species
UACGAAGGGGCUAGCGUUGCUCGGAAUUACUGGGCGUAAAGCGCACGUAGGCGGCUUUCUAAGUCGGGGGUGAAAUCCUGGAGCUCAACUCCAGAACUGCCUCGAUACUGGAAAGCUCGAGUCCGGGAGAGGUGAGUGGAACUGCGGAGUGUAGAGGUGAAAUUCGUAGAUAUUCGCAAGAACACCAGUGGCGAAAGGCGGCUCACUGGCCCGGAACUGACGCUGAGGUGCGAAAGCGUGGGGAGCGAACGGG